AGGUUGAUAAUAUUGCACACAGCUUCCGUUAUAAAUAAAGCGCACACAAGUUUUCUUCUAAUUGCGAAACAAUGUGCGCAACUUUAAAUUGAUAAAAAAUUUUUACUAUGUAAAUUUAAUAGACUUCUAAGGCUGGGAUGUAUUUUAUACCCGAUGUGCGGAUAACGUAUAUAGAGCUUGAGAGAAUUAAAUUGACUUUUUGUUAACAAACCCGUAAGAAGGUAUAAUAUAUUUCAGUUGUGUCACUUCUUAUUUAUUAAAAAGGCAGUUACAUACUUUCGAGUUGCAAUCGAUUCGAUCAAUUUCAAAUGAGUUACGGUAUGCUGUGUAUAUGUACCAUGAGCUUUUCUUCCAGCGGUCCCUCAUUUCCACGAUCUUUAAAGUUAUUCUGGCCGGUGCUACUGCCACUGCUGCUGUUGCUGCUGCUGCUACUGAUACCGCUGUUGUAUUGUGUCAUCUUCAUGUUACACGUGUCGUCUCGCGUUAAAACGCAAUUCAAUCGGAAUCAAUUGACGUGACCCGUUAAGCGAUGUUAACGAGACGUCCGACAAUGCCCGCAUCUAUAUAAAAUUUACACGUGCACAGGUCUCCUCGCCGUCUGAUUCAUCCAUAUCGAUUUUCGUCGUAGCAUUUUCUUGGGCAGACGUGUCCGCGGAUAAUUAUUUCGUCACAAAAUAACGCCCAAUAAAGUAUGUCGCAGACUCCAAUUCGCAAAUGCGAACAAUCCCUCACUCCCAGAAAACGAUAGUAAUAAUAAAAAGUAUCGGGGUAAAGUCGAGGAAGAAGUCUCGCCAGAAGCGUGAUAGGAAGAAGGCAAAGGAAGAUAUCUUUACAAGAGGUAAUAUUGUUCCCUACGCGGUGACGAUUGAGGCCUGAUAUACAAAAUAUUUGCAACACGUGCGCGCAUUGCAAACAAGCGAUUGGACGUGUUUUGCAAGUUCAAUUGAGCGCGUUCGAACGGCGGUCGAGGUAUCAAGAAACUACACGGUAGUGUCGCGCACCAAAUUCACGCGCGGUAUGUUAUCACGGCACAGUCAGGCGCCCGACUGAAAAGCACCUGUCCACCUGUACAUGUAAAAGCCACCACCAGCUUACGCUGGAACACGCGAGGAAUACGCGCAGUAUACUCCCGUAUACCACGACGUUCGACCGGACAAUCUGUAUUAAUGACGCGGCUAAACUGUUGCUGCUUUUGCGCUGUUACGUUGUAGAAAACAUGAUCGUUGAAAUAAAAGCUAAAAUUUAUUGCGAAAAAUACUAAAGGGUAAAGGGUCCGGGAACACUCCCUCGAAAAGUGCCUUGCAACCCCAAGAGAAGUCAAUAGAGAUUAUUAUAAUAUUGCGAGAAAUAUUACCUCAACCAGGCUUCCGAUUCAAUCUGUGCUUAACUUUUAACAAUGGAAAAACUAAAUGGUCCAAAUUGGGAAACUGGUGGCCUAAGUUGGAUCUGGAGAUGAAAGCUAACAAUUAAUAAUAAAGCAAAAUAAUAAAAAGAUAAAUAAAAGUGUCUCCUGUAAAAAUAUUUGUAAUACACAGCACAUAUUAAAACUACAACAACAUUUACUUGUUGCGAGAAAUAUCAAAUAUUAAAACAAAUGAAUUAAUAGAAUAAAACUUAACAUCAACACUUGUAAAAUGAUUGAAAAGUCUAUUUGCAGACCAACCGCGCGUUGUUUUUACACGCAUUGACUUUAUGCAGUACUUUCUGCAAUCCAUAACAAAUUACAAAUCGUACGUUUCCGGUUCUGCUUUGAGCUAUUAUCAGCGAUGCGGUGACAGACAUAAAUCACAUAAUAUUUUAAUCCCUAAAUAUUUAAAUAUUAAAUUUGUUAUCUUCAUGGCACCAGGUUACACACCGUGUAAAUGCAUGACCUAUAAUCCAUACUGGAGAGAGAGAGAUCAUGUAUUCUUCCUUUACCUCUCAUAUAAAAUACACAUGGCGGAAUAAAUUGACACAGAUUUUGAGACGGAACAGAGGACGCUUAUUCGAUACAAGAGAGCACGUUAGCUCCGUUUUACAGCUUCGGAUAAAAGACAACAUUGACAGGCUCAUCGUUCGGGAACGCUACUCGAUUCCUCUCGAGUGUCAUCUGCUCAACUUCUUUCAAUUUUUUUAAGUCUCUGAAGAUAAACUGGUUAAGAUUUAGCAAACAUGCGGUGGCCCAACUUAGGCAACUAGGCUGCGAAUAUUAAAAAAUUGCAUUACACAAACACGCGAAAUUAAACAUUAGUUUUAUAAUUAGUAGUUGAUAGAAGGCACUUGUAAAAUGUAUUAUAGAAAAUUUGACUGCGUACUCGUAUUCUACAGCGGCUUAAAAUCUGUAUAACACAAUAAUUAUAAAACAAACUACAAAAAAAUAAACGGUGUUUCUAUUUGAUAAAAUAAUUUCCACCCACUGGCUACUGAUUGUGAGUCGCAUGUCGAGGGCAAUGUCGUCAAACAGUA